rnacentral:lncRNA from 1 species
UCUAUGGGGCUCUAUGGGGUCUCUAUGGGGCUCUACGGGGUGUCUAUGGGGCUCUACGGGGUGUCUAUGGGGCUCUAUGGGGUGUCUAUGGGGCUCUAUGGGGUGUCUAUGGAGCUCUAUGGGGUGUCUUUGUGGCUCUAUGGGGUGUCUAUGGGGCUCUGUGGGGCUCUAUGGGGCUCUAUGGGGUGUCUCUGUGGCUCUAUGGGGUGUCUCUGUGGCUCUAUGGGGUGUCUAUGGGGCUCUAUGUGGUGUCUAUGGGGCUCUAUGAGGUCUCUAUGGGGUCCCUAUGUGUCCCUAUGUGUCCCUAUGGGUCCCUAUGUGUCUCUAUGGGGCAGGAGGCCAUGCCGUCCCCGCAGGCUGUGGGUCUGUUCAGCAGCGAUGACCCCACGUGGGGUCCCUAUGGGUCCCUAUGGGUCCCUAUGGGUCCCUAUGUGUCCCUAUGGGUCUCUAUGGGUCCCUAUGUGUCCGUAUGGGGUCCCUAUGUGUCCCUAUGGGCUCUAUGGGGUCCCUAUGGGAUUGAUUGGAUCUCUAUGGAGUCUCUAUGGGGGUUCAAUGGGCCCUAUGGGGCCGCUAUAGGGUGUCUAUGGGACUCUAUGGGUCUCUAUGGGGUGUUUAUGGGGUCCCUAUGGGUCUCUAUGUGUCCCUAUGGGUCUCUAUGUGUCCCUAUGGGUCUCUAUGUGUCCCUAUGGGUCCCUAUGUGUCCCUAUGGGUCCCUAUGAAUCUCUAUGUGUCCCUAUGUGUCCCUAUGGGUCCCUAUGUGUCCCUAUGGGUCCCUAUGUGUCCCUAUGGGUCCCUAUGUUUCCCUAUGUGUCUCUAUGGGUCCCUAUGUGUCCCUAUGGGUCCCUAUGUGUCCCUAUGGGUCCCUAUGUGUCUCUAUGGGUCCCUAUGUGUCUCUAUGGGUCCCUAUGUGUCUCUAUGGGUCCCUAUGGGUCUCUAUGGGUCUCUAUGGGGUCUCUAUGGGUCUCUAUGGGUCUCUAUGGGGUAUCUAUGGGUCUUUAUGGGUCUCUAUGGGGUCUCUAUGGGUCUCUAUGGGUCCCUAUGGGUCUCUAUGGGGUCCCUAUGGGUCUGUAUGGGUCCCUAUGUAUCCCUAUGGGUCCCUAUGGGGUAUUUAUGGGGUCUCUAUGGGUCCCUAUGUGUCUCUAUGGGGUAUCUAUGUGUCCCUAUGGGUCUCAAUGGGUCUCUAUGUGUCCCUAUGGGUCUCUAUGGGUCUCUAUGGGUCCCUAUGGGUCCCUAUGGGUCCCUAUGGGGUAUUUAUGGGUCUCUAUGUGUCCCUAUGUGUCUCUAUGGGGCAGGAGGCCAUGCCGUCCCCUCCGGCCGUGGGGCUGUUCAGCAGCGAUGACCCCACGCGGCGCUUCCAGGACCUCAGGGAGGUCGGCCGGGGCAGCUUCGGAGCCGUGUUCAGGGCCCGUGACACGUGCACCAAUGAGGUGGUGGCAGUCAAGAAGAUGUCCUAUGGCGGCAAGCACAGCAACGAGGUGGGAUAGGGGGGGAUAUAGGGGGAUAUGGGGUUUAUAUAUGGGGGAUAUAGAGGGGGAUAUAGGGGAUAAUGGGCGGGAUAUGAAGGGGGAAUAGGGGUCGUAUGGGGUUUAUAUAGGGGGAUACUGCGGGUUAUAUAUGCGGGGAUAUGGGGGGAUAUAGGGGGGGAUUGGGGUUAUAAUAAGGGUAAUAAGGGGGAUAUAUGGGGGAGAUAUAGGGUCAUAAUGGGGAUAUAUGGGGUUAUGAGGGAUCUAUAUGGGUUAACCAGGGGAUGCCCCGCUGGGGUUUAUAUGGGGGGAAUUGGGGUUAUAUGGGGGAUAUAGGGUUCAUAUCGCGUUACUAUGGGGGGAUAUGGCUAUAUCCAGCUAGGAUAUGGAUUAUAUAGUGGGAUAUGGGGUUAUAUGGGGGGAUAUAGGGGAUAUGGGGGGGGAUAUAGGGUGGAUAUAGGGGAAUAUCCGGGGGGAAUAUGGGGAUAAUCAAACAUAAAACAUACAAAAAAAGCAAACAAAAACAACCAAAAAAAAAAAAAAUUUAAAAGAACCUUAAAAAAAAAAGAAACAAAUAAAAACUAAGAAAAAAAAAAAUUAAACA